UGGAAAACCCUACUUCGAGGGAAAAACCACGGGACCAACUCCGAGAAAAAAUCCACUAUAACAAAGGUUUAACAGCAUUUGAUUCUCACAGGAACAAAUUCCUCACUCUCUCCAACAAUGGGUUUCAAACAAUAAGAAAGAGGUAAAGCUACGCUGUGUAGACGUGUUCUGAAAAGACCCAGAGAAGGAGUCCUCUCAACGAUGAGAACCGUUCAUGCGGUACAGCUCAUUGCUGUGAAUAACAUGAUGAAAUUUGCCUGCAAAUAGAAAACAUAUAGAAGCCUCUGAAAAUCUAACGCUGGAAUAAACCAAACCUGGAACAGGAUUGUUCUAUUUCAUUUAUUUGUAACAAAAGAAAACCGUUAGUAGAAAAGGCAUACCUCCAUACAUUUGUUUUGCAUCUGCAUUAUAAAUGCAUAGCAUACAGCAAUCCAUUCGUGUAUAGAAAAUAAGUUGAAAGUAAAAUGACAGUGUUCUGCGAGGAAACACACAGCUCACCACUGAUUUGAGAAGCAGCCUUUCAUUUGGCCUCUCCACAGGCUUGUAAAGUACAGUUUGCCCGCAUAAAUGAACAUCAGACACCGAAUUGCAUCCAAGAAUAAUAAAAUGCCUACAAGUCUCCUUCACUUGUAUGUUAAAGAUGAUGAAACUGCAUUUUGUACAUCAAACUGAAAUCAGAACUCGAAAUUACUUUCUUAUCUUAAGAUAGUAGAAUUGCAGGACACCCGUAUGAUAACAGAAAUGCUGGAGAACAGUACCAGGCAAGCCUCCUCGUUUGAUUGAAGACUGCAUGUUGGAACCUAAGCCACCUUAAAAUCUCGGAUCCCUAAUAUUAAGUGAUGGAGACUUGAUACUUGCUCAUGAUAAAAAAAAUUUAUGUUGGAGUUGCAACUUGCAGGGGUUCCAUCCUGGGCAACAGACCAGCCAAACUUAGUUCCUCAAGUUAAUCCAUUGCUUGCCUAGCAAAGUAAACAACAACAAUAAUAAAAAGUUGUUCUCCUUACAGAUGCAUGAGGUUGCAUAGUAUUUUAAGAAGAGGGAGAAAAAUAUGCAGGCAUGUUUAUGCUGUGCAUGACUAUGUGGAUUAGUCCAAUCCAAGCAAGCCUUUUAAAUGAUCCAAUUGUUUAUGUAGAAUUUUUUCUUUCUUUUAAUUUUCCUUGUCGUUACAGGAGUGUAUGGAAAGAAAAAAGGACAAGUAAAAGUCCAUUAAUGCGUGAAGUAUGGUGAGGAAGCAAUAAACCUUGGACGUGAUUAUGGAGCAGAUAAACCAAGAAAGAAUACCUGAUUCUCUGUUUUUUUUUUCUCGUUCAAAUCCUGCAUAACAAAAAACUGAAGAAUCAACGGCAUCUUACGAGAUAUCAACUUUGGGGAUGUGGGCAAUGAUGGACCAAUAAUCUCCUUUCUCUUUCAAGCAUCGUUCCUCCAGAAGAGGGCUGCUACAGAUACGUAUACAUUCAAGUGAGAGAGGGAAGCCCUCCCUGGGGAAGAACCGGAGUAUAGGGCACUCAAAAAUGUUUAAUACUUCAAGGGAGGUGAGGUGUUGGAGGCCUCUGGAUAUCGAUUUAAGAAUCUCCUGAUUAGAGAUCUCAAGAAAAGUUAACGAAGGGGGAAGCAGCAGACCUUCAUCAUCCGGAAAGCGAUCCACAUCCAUUGUAGAUUCGACUGAGAAUCGUUUAAGAGAGGUGAGCAAGCGGAGUCCCCACUCAGAUAUUGGCAGUGAAAUUUUGCAAUUAAGAAUUUUAAGUGAAGUCAGGUUAGGUGGCAAACCCCUUUCCAUAAAGGAAUCCAGACGGUGACAAUUAGAUAUCCUUAAAUCUUGAAGAGACUUGAGGCUAUCCAUGUGAGUGGGUAGGGACCUCAACUUUUCACAACGGUGUAUGCCAAGAGAGAUGAGAUUUGGGAGGGGCAAGCCCUCUUUGGGGAACGACUUCAACUCAUUGCACCCAAAUAUCUCCAACUCAGUGAGAUGGAAGAGGAAAUGCAGGGGUGGUAAUGACGGUAUUCUGCAAUUGACAAUAGUAAGUUUCUUUAGAGAAAUAGGAAACUCGCCAGUUGGAAAGGAUGUGGCAGAUAAACUGUGUAGUGUUAAAUGCUCAAGAUUAGAGCGAGAAGUCUCCCUUGCAUCACGUUGCAAAAUCCCCUCCGGAAGAGACUCUUGGUUAUCCCAAGAAAUGUUCAAGAACUUGAGUGUUUUUGGCAACUUCCCCUUAGGAAGCCAUUUUAGGGAUGGACAAGCAUCAACUGACAACACUUCAAGAAGGCACUGAUUACAAUCGCUGUCGUUCACCAUUGUCAUCAUUCCAUCGGGCAACGAUCUCAGAGAAUCACAAUUUGAAAUCACAAGACGUUUGAGAGAGAGGGGCAAACCUGCUCCUUCAGAAAAGCACUCUAGUUUUCUGCAUCUAAGUAUUGUCAAGUCUCUGAGCGAUGUGAGGCUGCACAGCCCAUUUGCCAGCUUCUCCAAGUUACAACAGACUAUCACUGUCAAAACCUCAAGAUUGCAAGGCAAAAUCCCUUCCUCGCCCUCUACCAGCGACACGAGCUGCUCACAUCCAAUGAUCUGUAAACAUUUUAAACUAGAAAGUUUGUCUAAAUCAACCCCAUCUUGCCACAAGUACGUCAAUUCAUUACAACGUACAAGAUCAAGAUCUUCAAGCGCCACCAAGGCCUGCACGAGCUCUUCAUGUAACCUUACAAGGCCGGAAAUUUGAAUUAAAUGUAAGCUUGAGAGGGAUGUUAGAUCAGGCGCAGCUCUGAGAGAGAGAACCACCCCUUGACAUUUUUCAACGUGAAGCUUUUUGAGGGAAGGAAGGCAACUUGGCAAAUCUCCAAUCAACCUCGGACAAUUCAUCAAGGUAAGCUCACUGAGUUUAGGAAAUUUUCCCACAGUACUUUCAUUGACACCGUCAGACCACAACCAUUGCUCCCACCCCAACAUAUUUCUGAUGUAUAAAGUCACAAGAGAUUGGAAAUCCUCAGCAUACACUUCUUUCACCCCAUCCAUUCCUUCCAUGCUCAAAUGCCUUAGAGCAGGGAGUUUUCCAACCGAUGAAAGUGAUGUGAUCUUCCGACAAGUAGAAAGCUUUAGGUGCACAAUUUUAGAAAAACAGCUAUCCCCUAUCCAUGAUGGAAACUCGGUACCGCCAUAUGAUGUAACUGAAAGCUUUUCUAGACUUCGGUGAGGCUUUAAUGAGUCGAGAACAUGCAGUUCAUUCCUUUCAUUUCGUAGUGAAUCAUCAAAAUUACUAAUCCAAUGCAAGGCUAAGUCACAUAGACCUGCCUUCUCUUUCAGAUUUGCAAGUUCUGCAUCUCGAAUAUUCACCUUAUGCAACCCCUCUAUUUUAAGCUGCCCUUGUAAAUGCGAAAGCUUCAUCAACUCCGUUAUCCCAAGCCCUUUUCCUUCUCCCACGAUAAACUUAGGCAACAUGCGAAGAUUUAUCAAUUUGCUUAUCUGCGGAGGCAUCUCCUGCAACCCAUCUGUAUCUCUAAUAUCAAGGCACUGCAAAUUAAUUAAAUUAACAACACAUGCGGGCAACUCAACAAGCUUCCGGCACCCACGUAACCUCAAAGUCUGCAAGUUGAAGAGUUCACCCAACGAUUCAGGUAAUCUUUUAAUCCAAGUAUAGGACAAGUUAAGGUAACGUAAACGCUUUAAGGUACCAGUAGAAUUUGGCAAUUCCUCAACAGAAUAACCAGCUAGUGACAAUGCCCUUAAACAUUUUAAUUUUGGCACUAAAUCAUCCAACACCUUGCUAGAUAAGUGAUAAGGCCUUGACUGUGAUAAAUAAGUUGGCAAUGCUAAGAAUGUUCGCAAGUUCUUCAUUUCAUAGAAGACAUCAAAUCUUUGAGAAAUGUCAUAUCUAUGAGAAGUGAAUGAAGAGUGGCGAACUGCAGCAUAUGAUUCCACUGAGCAUGGUUCCUUCUUCGUGUCAUCCAAGUAGAAGCAUAUUUCUCGGCUUACGAACCGAGCAAGAUCACUUAUAAGAUCAUGCAUUAUAAAUCGUGAUAUGUUGCUACUAGAUCGUUGAAAAAACGACCUUGAUGAUAAAUCACGAAAAUAUUCAUGGCCUAAGUCUUUCAUGUGCUUCUUUUUCAUUUUUUGCAUCAGAAAACCCUCUGCCAUCCACAGGGAAACUAGCUCGCCCUCCUCGAACUCAUAAUCUUUAGGAAAGAUCGCGCAGUAAGCAAAACACUGCUUCAAAUGGGAAGGAAGAUGACUAUAGCUUAAUCUCAAAGCUGAAAGAAUGCCACUUUCAGUUUCUUGCAAAUUCCACAUCUCACUGCUCAAAAUAUCUUCCCACUCUUCAAGGUUCUGUUUAUGGCGUAAGAGUCCUCCAAGUGUCUUGGCAACCAAAGGCAAUCCUUACAUUUUCCCACUAUCGCUUCUCCUAUUUCUUUCAAUUCCAAAUGAGCAUCAAAAUUUCUGGAAUCCAAAGCAUGUUGGGUAAAUAUGCGUAGACAUUCAUCAAAUGAUAGCCUUUCCAAAGUGUAAGCACGAACAGAGCCCAUUUUUGAAGCAAUGUCUUCAAUACGAGUUGUGAUGAUGACUUUGCUCCCCCUUGCUCCUGCACUGAAGGGAAGAGAAAGGGCAGUCCAAUCAUCAUAGUUGUUACUCCAAACAUCAUCCAGCACUAUCAAAAACUUCUUUCCAGACAAUUUGUCCUUCAAUCUUUCUUGAAGAACAUUUAAAUCUUUAUCUUCACAGCUUCCCAAGUGCUGGAGGAUUGUUUUUGUUAUCCUCGGAAUGUCAAAAUCAUCAGAAACACAGACCCAUGCUUUGCAAUCAAACUUCACACUCUCAUCAUUGUAGACAAGUUGAGCAAGAGUUGUCUUCCCGAUACCACCCAUUCCAAUUAUUGGAAUGACGGAGUACUCGAGGUUGCUAGCACCAUCGUUCAUCAACAAUUCAAGUAUGGCUUUCUUGUCAUUGUCCCUCCCACAAACAUCGGAUUCUUUGACCAGUGAUGUAGUCGCCCUUUUUUUCACUCCUUUUGACCUCGUGAUUCCCACGUCGAGCUCAAUUUUCUCUUUAGCAAUUGCUUCUAGUCGUGUAGUUAUGCCCCGCAGCCUGGACCCCGUCCUCAUAUUAAGCUCAAUAGCACUUGGAUUCAGACCAGCACAACAAGUUGGGAGGAGCUUCCGGACAGUACUGCUGCUGGCUUGAGAUUCUGCCCUCAUCUUGCUUGCCAAAGCUUCUGUUUGAAACUCGUCCAGGACGUCCUCCACAUCAUAAGCCAAAUCUCGGAGCUUGGUAAGCCAGAUUUUCACAGUCGGACUUGUGAUUGGCUUCUCUUCUGCAUCCUUAAGAACUGCAUCAAUUUCUGACAGUCUUCGCUUCCACUUGUUAAGUUCUUUCUCCACUUGUGUUUUGCGUACGAAGUUCAGAAGGUCUCCAGAGGUCAACUUUCCAAGCAAGGGCUCAAGAAGAGCCGAGAGAAAGACUUCUCCAACAACUUCCAUCCUGCUGAAUGAUGUCACAGAUAAGAUCAGAUUUUUGGCCUAAACAUUGACGGUACUCUAACUCAAUAAUAAGAAAAAGCUAAGAAUCCACUGCUUCUGCUGUGUUGGGUGGAUGUUUACAUCAUUAACAAGUUAUCAAAUAUAUGAAAAAAUCACUUAAAUUAGCAAAACACAUGUCUGCAAUUUUCUGCAGAAUCAGCUAUGAACAAGGGAGAGUUUUCUUUACACUGCAGAUUUUUCGUUCCCUGUCUUCUCUUUUACAAUUCCAGAAUAUUACAGCACCUUUAUGCUUCCAAAAUCAUCACAUCUUAUCCUUACACUUGCUCAUUUCAAUCACCACGUAAACUAACUCCAAUUACAUUGACUUGGCAUGCGUUACACUUAUUAAAGUUAAGGUUAAAGUUCUGUAACGUUCACAGCAUAUAAACCCCAACAGUAUCAGAAGCCAAUGAACUGCAAACAAAAAAAACUGAACCCAGUUUAUGAAACUAAAUAUAGUAGGUUAUCAUCGAGAGGAUAUUGGCAUCACGAAGAAUUAUGUCAUCAGCUUUUCAAACUUGCAAAACUACCCAGUAAUGAUAUAGUUUAGCAGAGUUUAAAAGAUGAAAAAGAAACUAGUAGCCAAAUUGUGGCUAGGGAGACCAAACGAUAGAUAUAGCAUUCUUCGGUGCAUUACCUGUUUUACACCGAGCAGCAAAUCGAUCUGUAAGUCCCUUGAAAACGGUAGAUCGGUACUCUUUAGAAAUUAAUCUUAGGUACUGUGGCAAAAGAAGAAGGCAAAGAUUGUGAAGAGGAGAGACAGAGAGCACUGAUUGAGAAGGCAAAGAUUGUGAAGAGGAGAGACAGAGAGCACUGAUUGAGGAGUAACUAGUAAAGACAGAAGACACAAAAAUUAAACAGAGGAGCGUACGCAUGGUCUUGACUUCUUUACAGCACAAAUAAUUGAACACGGUCAUAUGGACCCGCCCUUAUGAAAUUCACUUGUCUCUCACUCUAGAAUUUUACGGUAGCAAUACCCCCACUACAAAAAAAAGAUGUAAAAAAAAAAAAUAAACCAUUGAUAUGAUUCCAAUUCUCUUAAUUGCCAAACAUCGGCUGCCAUAGUUUGAAGGGGAAGCUCCUUGACAAACUUCCGAAAUUGUAAGUGAUUUAUAUCUAAUCUUCUUCGAUGUUCGAAGAAGGGGAAGACGAUAGGCUCUCAUGAAUAUUGGACACAUUAAGAUUCUUCCAUGAGCCAAACACCAUCCGCGUCUUUGAAGUACCAGGAAAGUAUCAAAUGGUCUAAUGGAGUUGAGGACUUGAUAGCCAGCUUAUAGCGAAAAGAAAAAAAAUUAGGAUUUCCUAAGCCUUUAUAUUAUAGCUAUAUUAAUCAUUAUGAAUGCCAAAAUUUUCUUAACUAUUUUAAAAAAUAACAUGCAAAAUUAUUUAAAUAGUAAAUUAAACCGAUUUAAUUAAUAAAAUUCAAAUCAAAUAAAAAUAUGAAAUCUAAUUAUGAAAAGAAUUUGAAAAUAACAAGAAAAAUAAACAAAAUUCCGAGUCAACAACUUCUAAACCUAAUUUAGGCAUGUUCUUGACCUCAGUUAGUGUCAGCAAAGUUUCAAGCUUGGACUUGAUAAUACUGUUUAUUUCCGAGCACCCACCCAAGCUUGGAACCAAAUAUAUACUCAUCCUGCAGAUUGCACAAGCUUGGACUACUGAUUAAUUAUUCGAACGAAUGUGAUAGAUCCUGUAUUUCCUAAUAAUUUGAACUUCUACUUCCUCUUGAGGCUGUAGCUAUGAGUUUUCUGCUUCCAGGACAAGACCAUCAGAAGAAAAUAUAAUUUUCAUCCUCUUAAUUUUAAUCCUACAAAAUAAAGAGAAAAUAAAGUCAUCUUGAUAUCUUCUUCUACACAUGUUACUCACUUAGAGGAUGUUUUGGGACAUGUUUGGAAUGGAGUUUCUUAAAAUUUUAAAUUUGUUUUGUUUAAAAUUUUUUAUAUAUAUUUUUUAUCGUUUUUGAUAUAUUAAUAUCAAAACUAUUUUUUUAAAAAAAUAAUUUAAUAUAUUUUCAAAUAAAAAACAAUAAUUACACCAUAUAAAUCACUAUUAUUCUUUUUCAAGAGUUUACAAGGGAGACGCCAUUUCCUCGCACACAGGAUGUGACUAAAGAGAAACCACUUGGAAAUGUCAAGCUGGGAAAAGAAGGGAAGGAAGCAGGUUCUUGCCUCUGAUAAUUAUACAAUUUUGAAAAAAGAAAUUGAAAGAGAAAAAUCAAAGAUGAAGACUCACUGUCAAACUAUAAUGAUUACGCAUGGAUAAUUCAUGACUUAUAUUUAUCUGACAUGAAUUCAACCCAAACUCAAUGGAUUUGACAUUAAAUUACAUGAUUUAAUGAGUUUUUUUUAGACCGUAUCAAUCUAUGGAUAAUAAAUAAAAAAUAUAAAUAAAUAUUAUCAAAACUAAGUCGAAACGAUGCACAUUUACAUCCCUGCUAACAUGUAUUCUCAUGGUGCAGAAGCAUCUCGACGACUUUGCUCAUGGUGGGGCUUGCAUCUUUGACUUUCUCCACGCAUUUCAACGCCAACGAAGAACCCAUCUCGGCUCUGUCAUAUUCUCCGUCCAAUGCCAUUCCAUUUCCAUUGGCUCCAUCUUUCUUUUCCCUCGCCGCCUAUGUCCCACUAUUGGUACAGCUUGGAUAAGUAUUAUUAUGGUGGGGGGGCUUGCAUCUUUGUCUUUCUCCACGCAUUUCAAUGCCACCGAAGAACCCAUCUUGGCUCUGUCAUAUUCUCCAUUCCAUUGGCUCCAUCUUUCUUUUCCCUCGCCACUACAGCCAAGGAUGAAGUCUAUGAGAUGACAUGUGAAAACUUUAUUUGUUUGUUUUCAGUAGACAUUAUUUGCUCUAUUAUUGCAGGGUGUUUAAUCAUGUAAUGAAUAUUUUAGCUUUGAAACCUUGGAGUUGGCCCUUUCUAAGUAUGAUUGUAGUGUCUUUUAAUAGAUUUAAGACUUCUAUAUCUCAUCUUCUACUUCAAAAAAUAUAGAAAGGAUCCCUUUAAGUAGACUAUAGGUCUAGGGAGGCCUAUACUUGGAAAAAUUUAAAACAUUCUGUAUGGGUCAAACGCCCAUGAUUAGGUUACAAAUGAAAGUAAAGGAGAGCGCAAGAAAUUGCAUUAAAUAAAUUUUAAAAAAAAAGGGUAAAAAAAGAGUGCGUGCUAUUGCCUUCUACCAUUUCUUCUGAAAUAAAGGAAACAAAAAAUUUCAAGAAAAAUCUCCUACAGACAAGGGGGUAGGGCACGCUGGAAAAAUAAUCUGCUGUCAUAAUCCAGAAAGAAGCUAGACAGAAAAGGCCACUCGGGUUCAAAAUCCCAGCCAUCAAGAUUGAACAUCAACUUGAAACCCAUAAUAAACUGAAAUCAAGUAGACAAAUGUUUGACUAAUCCACCUACACUUCCAAGAAAAUUGCUAUUUGGUGAGCUCAUCAUCGUCUUCGCAUCCCCCGUCCACGGCCACGGAAACCACCUCCCCCACGUCCACCCAUAGCACUUGCAGCAGCUUCUCCCUGAGCACUUUCAGACUGCAACAUCAUUUAUGAUGGGAAACAAUCAGCUUACCCGUAAUAUCAACGGUUACCAUCCUGGUCAGCUCCACCACGAAGAACAAUGGUGGCUGUCCUUCCAGAAGGGCAUCCGCUGAAAAUAUUAAACCUCUCAUUUCCAACUUGCUUUUCCUCAAAAAUCUCACAAGUCCCAAGAACCUUUAGGCCAAACAACAGACAAGAAUUAAAAAAUUGAAUGAAGAAAAGAAAAUGUUAACAAGCAUAUACUGUAUCGAUUAAAACUUUUAACAGAUUUUUCCAAAUCAAGAUAAUCGCAAGACCUCAUCAAUUAUGUUGUUGACAGUUGUCUGUACAGUUCCACCAGUUGCCGCAGCAACUCUUUGCAGAUCUUCUUCACUUACACGACCAGCACAGAAUAUAUCUCGAUCAGCAAAAUACUGUUACAGACAGGGUAUCUAAUUAAUAUGCCACUAUUAAUCCUAAGCAAAUAGAAGAAAUAAGAGUUUUCAGCAAGAUAGAUAGCCAUACAGCUAAAUAGUCACAUCAUUCUUCAAUAUUCCAUAUAUUGAACUAUCGAUCAAUAUCAUCAAAAAGGAGUAUACUGUGAAGUCCUAUAAGACUAACAUAUGAAUCAUACAGAACUUUCUUGCACAUGUCUGUGAAAAUCUAGGAGAAUUCAAGUAGACAUAAUCUGCAAUUUAUAAGGUGGUUACACCAACCCUGUUAGAAUAUAAAUAGUAAUUGUUUUUUUUUUUACAAAAAAAAGCAUGCAAUAUUGGUGGAGAAAAAGUUUUAUGACCAGAAAGACCAAAAAAAGCUUAUACAAAAAAGACUACCAACUAAAAAAUUAACCAAAACAUAAGAGGAUAUACUGGCCAUGCAUUUUCAAUCAGAAGUUCAAAAUCUCAGAAAUAGAUCAGAGCAUUUACGAAACAAAAGGCACCCACCUGUGUUGCCAGAUCACCGAUUGCAAGGCGUGAAAGAACCACUUUUGCCCCACUUUGCACACAUUUAUCCAACUUGUCAUAAAUGAUAUUCCAUUCCGCAUCAACAAUGGACUGGUACUGAGAUGGAUCUGACAGCCUACAGCAUGUGAAAAGUAGCUUUGGCAAUUUCAGUUAUCAGCUCUCAAAAGAAAUAUCAACAACUAAGCCUAGAUCCCGAAAUAGUGGAGAGUUCUUAAUAGGAAUGUAUAGUUUAAAAUUUUUUUUAAAAAAAAAACGAAACCUACCUUAUCUCAGCAUUUUCUUUCUCAGAUUUCAGCUCCAACUCAAUGUUGAGUAAGAGCAUCUUGGGAUUCACAAACUUCUUUGGUUGUUGUUCAAACCCCGCAUAAGAAAACGUCUUUUGAAAGGCAACACCAUUAACCAGAAAUGAAUCUCGCAUAGUACCACCUGGGACCUAUGGGGGCAAACACAAAUGUUCACUCAAGGAAAUCAAUUUUUUUUUCAUUAUAUACUAGCAACAGAAAAUUUGCAAGUCCAGAAUUUUUCAUUUUUCAUUAUGGAGCCAGCAGCUCAGCACAACACCAGAAUCUGAGAGAACUUUUGAGAUGAUGAACAAAUGCAUUACACAAAAAAACGGAGAUUUCUAUGUGCAGGUCCAGGAUCUCAUGUUGCCUAAAUGCCUUAGACAUUAUAUCGCCCACAUGACUAUGAACACCACAGAUUCUCAUCAUAAAAUGUCCUCAACAACAUUUCAAAAUCAAACCCACACGAUUUCCUAAAUUCUAUGUCUUGAAGCCAUUUAUAAAACUGCCAAUUAUCACAGAAUAACAUGAAGAGUGAGACAAAAAAAUAUAGGAAGAAAAAAUACAAAAGCAUUUCCCAAUAAGUUUACCUUCUUUAUUCCAAUCAUAUUUAGCCUGUCAUCAUUCCCAAUUGCAAUCACAGCAUCCACGACCAUUGAUGCAAAGAACUCCUUCUCGCAUAAGAAAGCGUCUUUCAAACAAUAAGAAAGAGGUAAAGCUACGCUGUGUAGACGUGUGCUGAAAAGACCCAGAGAAGGAGUCCUCUCAACGAUGAGAACCGUUCAUGCGGUACAACUCAUUGCUGUGAAUAACAUGAUGAAAUUUGCCUGCAAA
rnacentral:lncRNA from 1 species